ACUGUCUCCUUUUUUUAAUCAGUGAAACUAAUCUCCCCGUGAAGAAGCGGGGAUAUUCUUAUAAGACGAGAAGACCCCAUGGAGCUUUAAACCCAACUAUAUACCUAACUAUUAUAACCACUUAAUCCCUUAGCACUAAUAUACUUGGUUUUAGGUUGGGGCGACCACGGAGUAUAACUAAACCUCCACAAUGAACGAAACAACCCUUCUUAUCUGAGAAUUACACCUCUAAGAAUUAGCACACUAACAUA
rnacentral:rRNA from 1 species